UGGGGAAUAUUGCACAAUGGGGGAAACCCUGAUGCAGCGACGCCGCGUGAGCGAAGAAGGCUUUCGAGUCGUAAAGCUCUGUCCUAUGGGAAGAUAAUGACGGUACCAUAGAAGAAAGCCCCGGCUAAUUACGUGCCAGCAGCCGCGGUAAUACGUAAGGGGCGAGCGUUGUCCGGAAUUAUUGGGCGUAAAGAGUGCGUAGGCGGCAAAUUAAGUCAGAUGUGAAAACUAAGGGCUCAACCCAUAGAUUGCAUCUGAAACUGAUAGACUUGAGUGAAGGAGAGGAAAGUGGAAUUCCUAGUGUAGCGGUGAAAUGCGUAGAUAUUAGGAGGAAUACCGGUGGCGAAGGCGACUUUCUGGACUUUUACUGACGCUCAGGUACGAAAGCGUGGGGAGCAAACAGG
rnacentral:rRNA from 1 species